UCUGUUUGAUGUCUGUGAGCUGGGAA
rnacentral:piRNA from 1 species